ensembl:lncRNA
AGGAAACAUUAAUUAAAUAGGUAGCUUCUCCCUUAUGUAGUUAUACCCUAGGGCUUAGUUUCAUUUUCCAUUCAAAAAUAGUUCCCCAUUUGCACAGAAGCAUAAAAUUUGAAGUGCGUGCACACAACCAUACACAUUUUUAAAUAUCAUUGCUGGAGCAUUCAGAUUGUGUUUCUGGCUCUAGCUCUUUGCUAAUGUCAAAUUCCCGUAAAAGCAUUCUGAUUCUCUGUGUAUUUUUCAGUAUACUUGCUCCUGAAUGUUUUGCAGAAAGUGGGAACUAUGUAUACCACGAAAGUUAGCUUAAUUUAUCUCAAUGUCUGCUUUUCACAGCUUAUGAUCCGUGGAUAACUGUUUAUCUAUAAAACAUCAAAAAACUCAUCUUGGAGGAAUUUAGUAAACAAUGAGCAACAGCGUCCUUGGGAAUGAACAAGGAAGUAAGCACAUAAAACAGUGGACAACAAAGAUCUUCUGGAUUAUGCACUUCUGCUUCAUGAUCCUCAGAACAGGAGCUUAAUUCUAGUUCCCUAGCUGCUGAGGCUUUCUGUUGGAUUUUGGGAGAAGAAGUGAACUAUUUAGGUGUUUGGAGACUGCUGAAUGAGUGCAUGCCUGAAGAACUCAAAAUGUGCAGAAUGAGUGUCAUAUGCAUGCUAAGCUGUUCCUGUGUUUCUGGAUAGGAACAGCUAAACGGCUGUCAAGAAUACAUUCUUUUUUCUCCAGAGGAUUUUGCCAUUUUCCUCCUGAGAGAGGUUUUGUUUUGCAUGAACUGGAAUCCUUUUUGGGAAAAGCUACCAGAGCUUCACUGCAGAGGGAAUCAUGUGCAGUACUGGGAAUUGAGUUUCAAGAGGCUGGCAGAGCGUGGAUAUUUCCAAAUCCAGUGAAUUAGACACUACAUUUCUCAGAACACUUCCAGACUUUGACUGCAGUUACCUGAGAAGUAAAAACCUGUAUGUACAGCAGGUGAUGGACACCAUGACAGUUAAAAG